CCUACGGGAGGCAGCAGUGAGGAAUAUUGGUCAAUGGACGAGAGUCUGAACCAGCCAAGUAGCGUGAAGGAUGACUGCCCUAUGGGUUGUAAACUUCUUUUAUAAAGGAAUAAAACGAGGCACGUGUGCCCUUUUGCAUGUACUUUAUGAAUAAGGAUCGGCUAACUCCGUGCCAGCAGCCGCGGUAAUACGGAGGAUCCGAGCGUUAUCCGGAUUUAUUGGGUUUAAAGGGAGCGUAGAUGGGUUGUUAAGUCAGUGGUGAAAGUUUGCGGCUCAACCGUAAAAUUGCAAUUGAUACUGGCAGUCUUGAGUACAGUUGAGGUAGGCGGAAUUCGUGGUGUAGCGGUGAAAUGCUUAGAUAUCACGAAGAACCCCGAUUGCGAAGGCAGCUUACUAAACUGUGACUGACAUUGAUGCACGAAAGUGUGGGUAUCAAACAGGAUUAGAUACCCUUGUAGUC
rnacentral:rRNA from 1 species